rnacentral:rRNA from 1 species
AUGGGCUGCGCGCAAGCCAAGCCGUCCCAGGGCUCCCCCGCCCGCAGCCACGACCGCGGCAUCGACCACCUCAUGCGCUGCAACGGCUACACGCCCGCCGCCGCCCGCCGCCUCACCGACCCGCUCCCCACCACCGCCGCCGUCGCGGUCGCGAGGGACCAGGCGGACGCCAAGGAUGGCGGUCCCGCGGGGACGGAGACCACGGAUGCCUCGGGGACGUCGAACCUGACGGCGGCCACGGUUUCCUCUCCGUCGCUGUCGAUGCCGCCGCAGGCGCCGGCGGCGCGGCGGGAGGACGACCGCGAGCAGCUGGUGGACGGGUGGCCGACGUGGCUGCUGGAGAACGUGCCGCGCGAGGCGCUGCAGGGGAUCGUGCCCCGGAGCGCCGACGCGUUCGACAAGAUCGAGAAGGUCGGGCAGGGCACAUACAGCAACGUGUACAAGGCCCGCGAGCGCGGCGCCGACGGCCGGCUCGUCGCGCUCAAGAAGGUCCGGCUCGACACCAUGGAGCCGGAGAGCGUCAAGUUCAUGGCCCGCGAGAUGCGCAUCCUCCGCCGGCUCGACCACCCCAACAUCAUCCGCCUCGACGGCAUCGCCACCUCCCGCAUGCACCGCAGCAUCUACCUCGUCUUCGACUUCAUGUACUCCGACCUCGCCCGCCUCAUCGCCCGCCCCCUCACCCUGCCACAGAUCAAGUGCUACAUGCAGCAGCUGCUGAUGGGGCUGCAGCACUGCCACGAGCGCAACAUCCUGCACCGGGACAUCAAGGGCUCGAACCUGCUGAUCGACCGCGCCGGCGUGCUCAAGAUCGGCGACCUGGGCCUGGCCAACUACUUCGGGCCCGGCCGGCGCCGCCCGCUCACCAGCCGCGUGGUCACCCUCUGGUACCGCGCCCCGGAGCUCCUCCUGGGCGCCACCGACUACGGCGUGGGCAUCGACCUCUGGAGCGCCGGCUGCCUGCUCGCCGAGAUGUUCUCCGGCAAGCCGCUGAUGCCCGGAAGGACGGAGGUGGAGCAGCUCUUCAAGAUCUUCAGCCUCUGCGGGUCGCCGCCCGACGAGUACUGGCGGAGGAUGAAGCUACCCGCCACCAUCCGCCCGCCAAAGACGUACAAGUCGACGAUGGCGGAGAAGUUCGCCGGCAUGCCGGCGUCGGCUUUCCCGCUCCUUACCACGCUCCUGGCCCUCGACCCCGCCGCCCGUGGCACCGCCGCCCAGGCUCUGCAGAGCGACUUCUUCAGCACGCCGCCGUUGGCGUGCGACGUCUCCGACCUCCCCUGCGUGUACAAGGAGGAGGCUGCCGAUCCGACCACCCCCCACGACGGAAGGAAGUGA